rnacentral:rRNA from 1 species
CAUGUCUNANUAUAAGCAAUCUAUACGGUGAAACUGCGAAUGGCUCAUUAAAUCAGUUAUCGUUUAUUUGAUAGUACCUUACUACUUGGAUAACCGUGGUAAUUCUAGAGCUAAUACAUGCUAAAAACCCCCGACUUCGGAAGGGGUGUAUUUAUUAGAUAAAAAACCAAUGCCCUUCGGGGCUCCUUGGUGAUUCAUAAUAACUUAACGAAUCGCAUGGCCUUGUGCCGGCGAUGGUUCAUUCAAAUUUCUGCCCUAUCAACUUUCAAUCGUAUGGUCUUGGCUUACGAUGGUUUCAACGGGUAACGGGGAAUUAGGGUUCUAUUCCGGAGAGGGAGCCUGAGAAACGGCUACCACAUCCAAGGAAGGCAGCAGGCGCGCAAAUUACCCAAUCCCGACACGGGGAGGUAGUGACAAUAAAUACUGAUACAGGGCUCUUUUGGGUCUUGUAAUUGGAAUGAGUACAAUUUAAAUCCCUUAACGAGGAACAAUUGGAGGGCAAGUCUGGUGCCAGCAGCCGCGGUAAUUCCAGCUCCAAUAGCGUAUAUUAAAGUUGUUGCAGUUAAAAAGCUCGUAGUUGAACCUUGGGCCUGGUUGGUCGGUCCGCCUCACCGCGUGCACUGAUCCGACCGGGCCUUUCCUUCUGGGGAGCCGCAUGCCCUUCACUGGGUGUGUCGGGGAACCAGGACUUUUACUUUGAAAAAAUUAGAGUGUUCAAAGCAGGCCUAUGCUCGAAUACAUUAGCAUGGAAUAAUAGAAUAGGACGUGUGGUUCUAUUUUGUUGGUUUCUAGGACCGCCGUAAUGAUUAAUAGGGAUAGUCGGGGGCAUCAGUAUUCAAUUGUCAGAGGUGAAAUUCUUGGAUUUAUUGAAGACUAACUACUGCGAAAGCAUUUGCCAAGGAUGUUUUCAUUAAUCAGUGAACGAAAGUUAGGGGAUCGAAGACGAUCAGAUACCGUCGUAGUCUUAACCANNAACUAUGCCGACUAGGGAUCGGGCGAUGUUAUUUUUUUGACUCGCUCGGC